rnacentral:lncRNA from 1 species
GAAACCAAUACUGAGACAAAUGCUGGUGCCCAUUCAGAUCAAGGGUACUUGUUAGGGAAAAAAAAGUUUGCACCCCCAAAUGUCCUGUAUCUUAUUUAAUGUAGGAUAAAGUAGAGUGCAUUAAGACACAAUAUUGUAAUCCCUACUCUAGGCACUUGCCUUUAAACGAUGUUUUUCAGCCCUUCAGAAGGGUUCUACUACUGUCCUAUACAAUCAAGUAACUGAAAUUCUUGGGAAGACACUUUGCUCCUCAUC